GCCAGACACUGUGGUGGGUAUCUGUAGUCUCAGCUACUUGGGAGGCUGAGACAGGAAGAUUGCUUGAGCCCAAAAGUUCAAGGCCAAUUUAGUCAACAUAGACCAUGUCUCAA
rnacentral:sRNA from 1 species